rnacentral:rRNA from 1 species
CCUACGGGGGGCAGCAGUGAGGAAUAUUGGUCAAUGGACGAGAGUCUGAACCAGCCAAGUAGCGUGAAGGAUGACUGCCCUAUGGGUUGUAAACUUCUUUUAUAAAGGAAUAAAACGAGGCACGUGUGCCUUUUUGCAUGUACUUUAUGAAUAAGGAUCGGCUAACUCCGUGCCAGCAGCCGCGGUAAUACGGAGGAUCCGAGCGUUAUCCGGAUUUAUUGGGUUUAAAGGGAGCGUAGAUGGGUUGUUAAGUCAGUUGUGAAAGUUUGCGGGUCAACCGUAAAAUUGAAAUUGAUACUGGCAGUCGUGAGUACAGUUGAGGUAGGAGGAAGUCGUGGUGUAGCGGUGAAAUGCUUAGAUAUCACGAAGAACCCCGAUGGCGAAGGCAGCUUACUAAACUGUGACUGACAUUGAUGCUCGAAAGUGUGGGUAUCAAACAGGAUUAGAUACCCCGGUAGUC